rnacentral:rRNA from 1 species
UACAGAGGGUGCCAGCGUUGUUCGGAAUUAUUGGGCGUAAAGGGCGCGUAGGCGGCUCUGUGUGUCGGGUGUGAAAUCCCACCUCUUAAAGGUGGAAUUGCAUUCGAAACUACAGAGCUGGAGUUCCGGAGAGGAUGGUGGAAUUCCUGGUGUAGAGGUGAAAUUCGUAGAUAUCAGGAGGAACACCGGUGGCGAAGGCGGCCAUCUGGACGGAUACUGACGCUGAGGCGCGAAAGCGUGGGGAUCAAACAGG